rnacentral:lncRNA from 1 species
CCCCUCCCAUCUCCUCCUUUCUCAAGCACUUGCAGCCACACAUCAGACCCUAGCCGCUCCCCCCCCCCCAUCUCCUCCUUCCAUGGUGCCAUUCGUUGCCGCUCGGAUCUCCGUCGCGUGGUGCAAAUCUUCAACGGUUUUUGGUGGAGGGAGGAAGAAAAGGGGGAGAACCCAAGGUGAUUUUUGUGUUUAUCUCUUGUUCAUUUUAUGCGGCAAUCCAAUUGUUUAGAUGUUGCGUGUGCGAUUUGGUAGAAGGGCUGUCCAGAAUUUUAAGGGGGUGGACGAACAGCAGCAGAAUUAGUGAUUUCUGGGCAUUUUUCAUGGAGAAUUAAGGGAAAUCAGUUUGGGAAUCAUGUAGAACUUUGGCAUACCUUUCCAACGAGUAUUUAUGCGCUCAAUUUAGAGUUAUAAAUUAAAAGUUAUCACCGUUUGAAACCGGGUAGGUGGCUGUCCAAAAAAACAGAUUUUCAGGGGGAUGAACAGCAGCAGUAUUAGCAGUUUCUGGGGAUUUUUCGGGAGUAAUUAGUGUUAAUCAGUAUGAGAAUCAUGUAGGGCUUUAUGCUAUCUUUCCAACAAGUACUUAUGCGCUCGAUUCGGAGUUAUAAUUUAGGAGAUAUCGUUGUUUGAAUCCGGUUAUGUUGCUGUCCAAAAAAACAAAUUUUCAGGGGGAUGAACAGCAGCAGUAUUAGCGGUUUCUGGGGAUUUUUCGGGAGGAAUUAGUGUUAAUCAGUAUGAGAAUCAUGUAGGGCAUUAUGUUAUAUUUCCAACAAGUACUUAUGCGCUCGAUUCGGAGUUAUAAUUUAGGAGAUAUCGUUGUUUGAAUCCGGUUAUGUUGUUGUCCAAAAAAACAGAUUUUUCAGGUGGGUGAACAGCAGUGGUAUUAGCAGUUUCUGAGAAUUUUUAGUGGGUAACUAGUGUUAACCAGUAGGAUAAUCAUGUAGGGAUUUGUCUUAUCUUUCCAAUGAGUACUUAUUUGCUUGAUUUGGAAUUAUAUUUUAAAAGAUAUCGCUGUUUGAAUCCGGGUAUGUCGCUGUCCAAAAGACAAAGAAAAACAGAAUUACAGGGUUCAUCUUGUGGACUGUUUUGGGCUAAUUAGAUAUUGGAAUUUAAUUAUAAAUUGUAUACAAAACUUGUGGGGAAUUUUAUGUAGAUGCCUCUGGAGUUUUUGUUUGUUACCACUGCUGUCAUAAUUUUAAAGUUAUGAAAUUAUUAAGCAGCGCCGCUGCAGUUUGGAGGGUGUAGGGAGAGAUGUAACCCGCGGCGGGGUUUGAGUUUGUGCGUAGUUGCGGCAUCGCUUAUGAGCCUGAUUAUGUGAAAUUGGUGCACUAAGUUGGGUGUCAAAAACAGGUGAUGGACUUCUGGAUCGUACUUAGGGAUUUGCCCGAACUUCCGGUAAAGGCAAGUAAAUACAGUGGUGGUUGCUACCGUUUGGUUUGCAUCCUAUUCCCUGUCAUUGAGUAUGCAUAAGUUUUAAUUAUGUUAAUCAUUGAAUUCUAUGAUGAAGUUUAUUUGUUUGGAAGUAUUAAUUCUCAAUUGUCUAAUAUUGUGGAUGAUCAUAAUUUGGUAAUGAUAUAUGUGGUUGAUUCCCAUCUUGGAUGAAGUUGAAGUAUCUUUUUGAAUCAUGUUAUAUGAAGUGUUGUAGGCAUGACAUGCACAUCGCAUCAUCCAUCUUGCAUUUUGAAGUUAUGUCAUGAUCUUAUGGUUCGACCGUACCGGUACAUUUUUUAGCAUCGUACGUUGCCCGAGGAGGGGUACGAUGCGGCUUCAUAUCCUUAGUGGUAUGAAGGCAGAAGUCAUCCUUGCAUUUGCAGACAUUUGCACUCAUGAGGAAUAUAUGAAGUGUGACAUUACUAUGUUACUAUUGUGGUUUCUACCUGUGAGGUGUGGUAACUAGGUGUGUUGUACGUUUUAUACGUGCUGCACCUUCGUAAUAAGAAGGUUGUGGAAUCAAGUGGUGGUAAAACAAUGUUCUUAUGUGGUUAAACUGUUUGAUAUUAUUUUACUUGCUGAGAUGUGUCAUCUCACUCUUGCAUUACUCAAUGCAGGUACUUGAUACAUGUUGGGAAUGAGGGGAGUAGCAGCACGUCCACUUUUACUCUCACAAUAACGCUGCCCAGGCGCAGCUAUGAUUUAUCAAAGGAAGUUUGUUUUCUUUAUAUGGUCGUGCGCACUGGUUAAUUCAGUUCAGGUCGUAUGUGUUAUCUUCCCUUGCUAGCCGAUUAAUAAUACUUAGUAUGUUUUAGUCAUGAUAUAUGUUUAUACUCUGUUGCCCCCUCUUUUAUGCAAUCUUGCAAAGGGGAUGCUGCCGAAAUUUUAUAUAUGGAC